GCCCCUCAACCAUCAGGUUCGGCAGCCGGCGGCGCCGCCUGGCAGCUCCUCCUCUUCUCCGCCCCGCUGGCCGCGGGCGCGGGGGACGUCAGCGCUGCCAGCGUGGAAAGAGCUGCGGGGCGCGGGAGGAGGAAGUAGAGCCCGGGACCGCCGGGCCACCACCGGCCGCCUCAGCCAUGGACGCGUCCCUGGAGAAGAUAGCAGACCCCACGUUAGCUGAAAUGGGAAAAAACUUGAAGGAGGCAGUGAAGAUGCUGGAGGACAGUCAGAGAACAGAAGAGGAAAAUGGAAAGAAGCUCAUAUCCAGAGAUAUUCCAGGCCCACUCCAGGGCAGUGGACAAGAUAUGGUGAGCAUCCUCCAGUUAGUUCAGAAUCUGAUGCAUGGAGAUGAAGAUGAGGAGCCCCAGAGCCCCAGAAUCCAAAAUAUUGGAGAACAAGGUCAUGUGGCUGUGUUGGGACAUAGUCUGGGAGCUUAUAUUUUGACUCUGGACGAAGAGAAGCUGAGAAAACUUACAACUAGGAUACUUUCAGAUACCACCUUAUGGCUAUGCAGAAUUUUCAGAUAUGAAAAUGGGUGUGCUUAUUUCCACGAAGAGGAAAGAGAAGGACUUGCAAAGAUAUGUAGGCUUGCCAUUCAUUCUCAAUAUGAAGACUUCGUAGUGGAUGGCUUCAGUGGGUUAUAUAACAAGAAGCCUGUCAUAUAUCUUAGUGCUGCUGCUAGACCUGGCCUGGGCCAAUACCUUUGUAAUCAGCUCGGCUUGCCCUUCCCCUGCUUGUGCCGUGUACCCUGUAACACUAUGUUUGGAUCCCAGCAUCAGAUGGAUGUUGCCUUCCUGGAGAAACUGAUUAAAGAUGAUAUAGAGCGAGGAAGACUGCCCCUGUUGCUUGUCGCAAAUGCAGGAACGGCAGCAGUAGGACACACAGACAAGAUUGGGAGAUUGAAAGAACUCUGUGAGCAGUAUGGCAUAUGGCUUCAUGUGGAGGGUGUGAAUCUGGCAACAUUGGCUCUGGGUUAUGUCUCCUCAUCAGUGCUGGCUGCAGCCAAAUGUGAUAGCAUGACGAUGACUCCUGGCCCGUGGCUGGGUUUGCCAGCUGUUCCUGCGGUGACACUGUAUAAACACGACCCUGCCUUGACUUUAGUUGCUGGUCUUAUAUCAAAUAAGCCCACAGACAAACUCCGUGCCCUGCCUCUGUGGUUAUCUUUACAAUACUUGGGACUUGAUGGGUUUGUGGAGAGGAUCAAGCAUGCCUGUCAACUGAGUCAAUGGUUGCAGGAAAGUUUGAAGAAAGUGAAUUACAUCAAAAUCUUGGUGGAAGAUGAGCUCAGCUCCCCAGUGGUGGUGUUCAGAUUUUUCCAAGAAUUACCAGGCUCAGAUCCAGUGUUUAAAGCCGUCCCAGUGCCCAACAUGACACCUUCAGCAGUCGGCCGGGAGAGGCACUCGUGUGAUGCGCUGAAUCUCUGGCUGGGAGAACAGCUGAAGCAGCUGGUGCCUGCGAGCGGCCUCACAGUCAUGGAUCUGGAAGCUGAGGGCACGUGUUUGCGGUUCAGCCCUUUGAUGACCGCAGCAGGUAUGAUCUCGUGAAACCUUGAGAGAAACUGAAUGAGGAAUGAAACUAUUGUUCCUGUUUCACACAGAAGAAAACUGAGGUUGGCACUCAUGAUGAGCCCCUGUUCUCAUUCUGCAAAUGGUGAAGCUCUCUAUCGUCCUGACCCCACAGUUCCUGUCCCAUGACCAGGGCCCGCUCACCAAGGAGCUGCAGCAGCACGUAAAGUCAGUGACAUGCCCAUGCGAGUACCUGAGGAAGACGAUCCUACACCUGCCACCUCCGAUGGAUCCACUGCCUCUGUGCCUGCCUGUACUGCCGAUGCUCCAGUGGAUAACUCAGCAUCCCAGCCAAGGCCCAAUGCCACUGAAGAUGGACCUGCCCCCUGGGGACCCAGGAGUCCUACCACUCAGCUGUCCCCAGGAGUGCCCAGACCCUCAUUCUUAUCCAGGACCUAGGAGCCUUACCCCUGGCCUUCCCUCAUCAGCCGUAAAUGAUGAUUUACUGCUGUUACCAUCAUCACUGCCUUCAGUGACCAAGGGCCUUCCAAGGUGCCAGCUCUGGAACGAAGGAUGCCCUUGGGAGGUGAUGACACUCAGGUACACGGGUGCUCAACAGAUUGCUUCCUCCUAUCCUCAGACGGUCUUUGCAUGCAUGCAGCCGUUGGCUCUCCCAUUGUAUGGAAGGAAACCAGCCCAGGGUCACACAGCUGGUCAGCAGCAACGCAGCUGGUCUCAAAUCUAAGGUGCCUGGCCAUGCCUCCAUGAGGGGGACCGCCUGCAAGGGAGGUUGAUCCUGGCUUUGGGGAGCCUUUCCUGGGCUGCACGAAUAACCUCCAUUGUUUGAGGCCCCAAACUCUGCUCACAUCUUCCUUUCUCUGUCUCUGCUUGGGCUAUGAUCGCGGUGACUCUAGCAACCCUUCAUGGACAUUAUGGCACUCUCUGCCAUUCACUUUUGGUCUAAUCUGACUUCAACCCCCACUUAGUUGGUCUCUCCUUUUACAACCAAUACAACCGAAAUCUAGGGCUUCUUUUUUUUUUUUUUUUUGAGACAGAGUCUCAUUCCAUUCUGUCACCCAGGCUGGAGUGCAAUGGUACGAUCUCGGCUCACUGCAACCUCCGCCUCCCGGGUUCAAGGGAUUGUCCUGCCUCAGCCUCCUGAGUAGCUGGGAUUACAGGCGUGUGCCACCAUGCCUGGCUAAUUUUUGUAUUUUUAGUAGAGACGGGGUUUCACCAUGUUGGUCAGGCUGGUCUCGAACCCCUAACCUCGUGAUCCGCCUGCCUCAGCCUCCCAAAGUGCUGGGAUUACAGGCGUGAGCCACCAUGCCCAGCCAAAUCUAGGGCUGGAACAUGGCUGCAGCAUACAAAUAGAAUUGAAUUCCAUAGUUUUGUUCACCCCGUUUUUUGUUUGUUUGUUUGUAGUUGUUGCUGUUUUUGAGACAGAGUCUCACUCUGUCUCCUAGGCUGGAGUGCAGUGGUGCAAUCUCAGCUCACUGCAAACUCUGCCUCCCAGGUUCAAACUAUUCUCCUGCCUCAGCCUCCCAAGUAGGUGGGACUACAGGCGCCCACCACCACACCCACCUAAUUUUUGUAUUUUAUUAGAGACAGGGUUUCACCAUAUUGGCCAGGCUGGUCUGGAACUCCCGACCUUGUGAUCCACCCACCUCGGCCUCCCACAGUGGUGGGAUUACAGGCGUGAGCCACCACACCCAGCCCGUUUUGUUUUUGUUUUGCUUGUUUCUUAGGGUUGUUUUUCUAUUUAUGGUAAAGGCAUUGGCUUUCCAUUUGUAGCAUCAAUAGAAUAUUUCUCAUUUACAAUAACCUUAUGUGAUAGUAAAUGUAAAGGGAUUUAAAGCAGUGGUUUUCAGCCGCCAGAGGCCUGAGUGAGUUUGGGCACACUCUGUGUGAUCGGGCAGAAGGCCUGUGGGAAGUUUAGCUGAGGACAGGGCCAGGAAAGGUGAUGGACAGUGGGGGUCCGUCCUGGUCACCAGGCCCCUGGGUCCUACCCACCUGCUUGGAGCUCCCCACCCAUCACACAUGAUGCUGCCAAGCCCUCUGGGUAUUGUGGGCGAAUACCUUAGGAGAGAAGCUGAUGAACUUUGUUUCUUGAAAUGCACAGAUUCCUUGGACGUCCCUGAGAGGUCAGUCAUGAAAGUCAACUUGGUUUUCUCCCCCUCAUUUGGGUUCAGAAUUUAAAGUCCACACACACGGGCAGUAAGAUGAUAUAGAUAAGGACAUCAUCACUCGGUUUCGGAUGUUAAGAUGUCUAGGUGGGUUAGGGGUGAUUUGAGAUCACACAACCUUGUGCCACAAAGAGGAAUUCCCAGGCCAGAGGGAGACAUUUUAUUGCCAUGUUAUGAUCUUAUCAUUGAGUUUAAAGGCAAUCUUGUUUCAUUUUGGAUUCUUUCUUAUGUUUAUAUCUUAUAAGGGCACUUUGAAUUUCCAAGCAAAUAAUAAUUUUGAAUUAGCUUUUAAUCAUUGACUUCUAGCACAGUUAUAUGAUCAGAAACAUGCUGUGUGAUUUGAUUGCUCUCAAAUAUAUUGAGAUUUGCUGGAACAAAAUAAGUCAGGUUAAUUUUUGCAAAUGUACCAUGUAUGCUUAAAAUGAAUGUAUCUACAUUUGUUCCUGAGAUACAGGUUGAUGGACGGAUGGCUACAUGGAUGUGAUGGAGAUGGUUUACUAUCGGGACCUUCCGCAUCCUGCUGAUGUUUUGUUGCUUAGGAUAUGAAUGGCUGAGCGGAGGCUGUAAAACCUGGCACUCUGCUUGGGUAUGAGGUUCUUCCUGCCAUCCUGCCAUCAUUUGUUUUUUAUGUUUUGUCGCCAAAGGUGACCUUGAGGAACCCUGGGAGCUCAGGAAGGAAGGAGCGCCCAGAAGCAGGGACAGGGAGCUGGUUGGGGAGGACCAGAAAUCAGGUUAUCAAUACUCUGGCUGACCAUCGUCAUCGUGAGACUGACUUUGGUGGAAGUCCUUGGAUAAUUAUCAUUAUUGUGUUUCUGGGACGUUACAAAUUUACCAUUCUCUUCUGCACAAUUUACCUUUGUGUGCCUUUCCUGAAGACUAUCUUCUGGUCUCGAAAUGGACAUGAUAGAUCCAGGGAUGUACAGCAGAGAGCUAGGAGGUCCAACCGCCGUAGACAGGAAGGAAUUAAAAUUGGCCUGGAAGACAUCUGUACUUUAUGGAAACAGGCGGAAACAAAAGUUCAAGCUAAAAUCCGUAAGAUGAAGGUCACAAAGAAAGUCAACCAUCAUUACAAAAUCAAUGGAAAGAGGAAGACCGCCAAAGAAAGGAAAAUGUUUCAACGUGCGCAAGAGUUGCGGUGGCGGGCAGAGGACUACCACAAAUGCAAAAUCACCCCCUCUGCAAGAAAGCCUCUUUGCAACUGGGUAAGUUUGUUUGUUUUCCUUGCUUUUGGACAGUCUGCCAGGUCAGGACAUGGAUACAUUUUUCUCCCUACAGCUCUGUGCUCAAGCCCUGCAGAGGGAGAUGGCAGAGAGGAAGGCUGCCUACAAGCAUCACAGUCCCAUCCCUGUUGGUAACCGUGUUGUGCAAAAACACCUUCAUCCCCACCCAGUGGGGCCCCUGAUCUAAUAUUCAAAGUGUCAGAGGUUCCAUAUUUGUAAUAGCAAAUGGGCCCUGACUGUAAAUUAGUGAAGAGUGAAUGUAACUUAUUACCCACAGGGACAAUUCCAAAUGAAGGCCUUAAAUGAUGCUCAGCUAAGCUGGUUCUUGUGUGGCCUCUGUACCUUCAAAAGCUGCCGAGUCCUAUGAUUACACGUGAUGGGACUUGUACACUUGAAGUGAAACAGUUUUAAAACUUGCUUUGUUUAGAAUUCCCACCUCAUUUUUCCAUGGACAAAAGUAUUCUUUAUGUCCUAGUGCACUUACAAUUUGGUAUUACCUGGGAGUGAAAAGAAAUAUUACAGCCAUGCCUAACUGACUUCUUGAGGUAAGAUUGUUCUGUCAGAAAACCCUCUCCCAGUUCCCCUGCAGCUCUUCAGGAAUCCACAUCUCUGCAGAGCUCUUUGUUCUCAUGGGUGGCACCUCCAGAGUGAAGAAGAUCCUUUAUCAAGAAGGGAAACAGGGGAAAUGAGAGGGUCCUGCAGGCAGAGCUGGAAUCAACUUCCACUCUGCCUCUUGCAAGCUGUGUGACCCCGGGCACAAUUUCUCCUUCCUCUGGAAACCUCUGUUUUCUUAGAUUUGGAGCAGGGUGGUCACACUGACCUUGCAGAGUUCCGAGAAUCAGAGACAGAACAUAAAAGGCCUGGAAAACAUUCUCCAAAAAGAAGCUGCAACAUGUGUGGACAAUGGGCUUUUCAUGCCUCUCUUACUGUCUGUUGACCUGGUGCAAGAAACAUGCUCUGGUGAUGGCUGUGAGGGAGGAAUGAGGAUAGACAUAGACACUCCUGUGUCUCAAACAUGCCUCUUUAUUACUCUGUUAUGACUCUGUCUUCCCUGGGGCAGGACCCCAGCCUGCCUACAUUUGCAGACAGACACAGUGGCAUGUGGAGACAACAGUGUGUCCCAAUGACUUUUCUUUACUCCCCAGCUGUCGGCAGUACUCAGUGGAAGGGUGAUAUUAUGACACUGAUACUGCUAUUUUGAAACCUGGAGGAUGGAAAGGUGCAAAAAUCUAUCACCAGCAACAGAAGGUGCAGACCGUGUUGGUGGCGGUAAUUUUGUCCAUCAAAUGAAUAUGUGUGAAAACAUUCCCUUCUUCGGCCCUACAGGUCAGAAUGGCGGCAGCGGAGCAUCGUCAUUCUUCAGGAUUGCCCUACUGGCCCUACCUCACAGCUGAAACUUUAAAAAACAGGAUGGGCCGCCAGCCACCUCCUCCAACUCAACAACAUUCUAUAACUGAUAACUCCCUGAGCCUCAAGACACCUCCCGAAUGUCUUCUUAUUCCCCUUCCACCCUCUCCUCUUCCACCCUCCGUGGAUGAUAAUCUCAAGACUCCUCCCUUAGCUACUCAGGAGGCCGAGGCAGAAAAAUCACUGAAACCCAAGAGGCAGAGGUUGAGUAAGCUGAGAACAGGUCAUUGCACUCAAGCCUGGGCAAUAAGAAGAAAUCUGUGAGUGGAACAAAAGAAAAAAAUCAAAAAACAAAACAAAACCCACACUCCAAAAACAAACUAACAAAGAAUAAAUAAAUAAUAUAAAAAUAAAAUAAAUACUGCAGUCCUUAUGUUAUUGCUUUGUUUCAAUAUCGGUAUGAUUGCCUGAGGGACCUGAGGUUUUU
rnacentral:lncRNA from 1 species